GAUGAACGCUGGCGGCGUGCUUAACACAUGCAAGUCGAACGGUGCUAGCAAUGGCACAGUGGCGCACGGGUGAGGAACACGUAGCUCAUCUGCCCUCGAGCGCGGGAUAACGGUCCGAAAGGAUUGCUAAUACCGCAUAAGCUCCCGAGCUGUAGAGGCUUGAGAGAAAAGGGGAAGUCGUAAGACCCACUCACUUGAGGAGGAGGCUGCGGCCCAUCAGGUAGUUGGUGUGGUAACGGCGCACCAAGCCGACGAC
rnacentral:rRNA from 1 species